AGCAGUCAGACAGUGUGAGAUAAGUUUCAUUGUCAAAAGGGAAACAGCCCAGACCUACAGCUAAGGUCCCAAAUGUAUGCUAAGUGGAAAACGAUGUGGAGUUGCGAAAACAACCAGGAUGUUGGCUUAGAAGCAGCCAUUCAUUAAAAGAGUUCGUAAUAGAUCACUGGUCGAGUGACUCUGCGCGGAAAAUAUAACGGGGCUAAGUAUGCAACCGAAGCUUAGGAUGUCCGCAAGGGCGUGGUAGGGGAGCGUCGUGUACGGGGUGAAGUCGCAGCGGAAGCAGCGGUGGACUGUACAGGAGUGAGAAUGCCGGAAUGAGUAGCGAGAAUUAUGUGGGAAUCAUAAUGGCCGAAAAUCUAAGGUUUCUUGGGGAAGGUUCGUCCGCCCAAGGUAAGCCGGGAGCUAAGGCGAGGCCGCGAGGCGUAGUCGAUGCACAUACGGUAGAAAUUCCGUAGCCACCGAACUUUAAACCAGAAGGACACUUUCAGAUAGCGGGACCCAGCCGUUGGUAGAGCUGGGCGCAAGGGACCGAAAUAUAGUAGGGAAGUCCGCGAUGCUGGGAGGCGAGAAAAGCUCUGGUGUAUACUAAGGUGCCCGUACCGCAAACCGACACAGGUAGAUGAGGAGAGAAUCCUAAGGCCAACGGGAGAAGGGUUGUUAAGGAACUCGGCAAAUUGACCCCGUAACUUCGGAAGAAGGGGAGCCUCGAAAGAGGCCGCAGUGAAUAGGCCCAAGCAACUGUUUACCAAAAACACAGGUCUAUGCUAAAUCGAAAGAUGACGUAUAUGGGCUGACGCCUGCCCGGUGCCGGAAGGUUAAGAGGAGAGCUUAGCGCAAGCGAAGGUUUGAAUUGAAGCCCCGGUAAACGGCGGCCGUAACUAUAACGGUCCUAAGGUAGCGAAAUUCCUUGUCAGGUAAGUUCUGACCCGCACGAAUGGCGUAAUGAUUUGGGCACUGUCUCGACAGCCCGCCCGGCGAAAUUGUAGUACUGGUGAAGAUGCCAGUUACCCGCAACUAGACGGAAAGACCCCAUGGAGCUUUACUGCAGUUUAAUACUGGGAAUCGGUAAUUCAUGUACAGGAUAGGUGGGAGACUGAGAAGCAUGGCCGUCAGGUCGUGUGGAGUCACCGGUGGGAUACCACUCUUGGAUUGCUGGUUUCCUAACCUGCGGCCCUGAAUCGGGUCGGGGGACACUGUUAGACGGGCAGUUUGACUGGGGCGGUCGCCUCCAAAAGAGUAACGGAGGCGCUCAAAGGUUCGUUCAGCACGGACGGAAAUCGUGCAUUGAGUGUAAACGCAUAAACGAGCCUAACUGCGAGACCGACGGGUCGAGCAGUAACGAAAGUUGGAGUUAGUGAUCCGGUGGUAUGUGAGUGGAAAUGCCAUCGCUCAACGGAUAAAAGCUACCCUGGGGAUAACAGGCUGAUCUCCCCCAAGCGU
rnacentral:rRNA from 1 species